GACGAACGCUGGCGGCGUGCCUAACACAUGCAAGUCAACUUGACUGAAGGAGCAAUCUGACAGUAGGGUGGCGCAAGGGUGCGUAACGCGUAAGUAACUUGCCCCAAGGUAAGGAAUAACGUCGAGAAAUCGGCGCUAAUACCUCAUAAUGCAGCGGAUCCGCAUGGAUAUGUUGUUAAAGGUUUACCGCUUUGGGAUAGGCUUGCGUCUGAUUAGCUAGUUGGUGUGGUAACGGCACACCAAGGCUACGAUCAGUAACUGGUCUGAGAGGAUGAUCAGUCACACUGGAACUGAGACACGGUCCAGACUCCUACGGGAGGCAGCAGUGAGGAAUAUUGGGCAAUGCUCGAAAGAGUGACCCAGCAACGCCGCGUGGAGGAUGAAGGUAUUCUAUAUCGUAAACUCCUGUGAGAGCAGACGAAAGACAGAUUUAAUUAAUCUGGAUGACUGUAUGCUCAGAGGAA
rnacentral:rRNA from 1 species